rnacentral:rRNA from 1 species
CCUACGGGUGGCAGCAGUAGGGAAUCUUUCACAAUGGGCGAAAGCCUGAUGGAGCAACGCCGCGUGCAGGAUGAAGGCCUUCGGGUUGUAAACUGCUUUUAUCAGGGACGAAGCAAGUGACGGUACCUGAUGAAUAAGCCACGGCUAACUACGUGCCAGCAGUCGCGGUAAUACGUAGGUGGCAAGCGUUAUCCGGAUUUACUGGGUGUAAAGGGCGUGUAGGCGGGAGUGCAAGUCAGAUGUGAAAACUAUGGGCUCAACCCAUAGCCUGCAUUUGAAACUGUACUUCUUGAGUGCUGGAGAGGCAAUCGGAAUUCCGUGUGUAGCGGUGAAAUGCGUAGAUAUACGGAGGAACACCAGUGGCGAAGGCGGAUUGCUGGACAGUAACUGACGCUGAGGCGCGAAAGCGUGGGGAGCAAACAGGAUUAGAUACCCUUGUAGUC